CUGCCGUCUACUCUUGGCCAGCCUUCUGAAAGGAAGAUUAAUCCAGGAUGGGAUCAUGAGUUCACAUGUCCGCAUGAUUAAAGGUAUUUUCCGGUAGACGAUGGGGAUGCGUUCCAUUAGAUAGUAGGCGGGGUAACGGCCCACCUAGUCAACGAUGGAUAGGGGUUCUGAGAGGAAGGUCCCCCACAUUGGAACUGAGACACGGUCCAAACUCCUACGGGAGGCAGCAGUGAGGAAUAUUGGUCAAUGGGCGAUGGCCUGAACCAGCCAAGUAGCGUGAAGGAUGACUGCCCUAUGGGUUGUAAACUUCUUUUAUAAAGGAAUAAAGUCGGGUAUGCAUACCCGUUUGCAUGUACUUUAUGAAUAAGGAUCGGCUAACUCCGUGCCAGCAGCCGCGGUAAUACGGAGGAUCCGAGCGUUAUCCGGAUUUAUUGGGUUUAAAGGGAGCGUAGAUGGAUGUUUAAGUCAGUUGUGAAAGUUUGCGGCUCAACCGUAAAAUUGCAGUUGAUACUGGAUGUCUUGAGUGCAGUUGAGGCAGGCGGAAUUCGUGGUGUAGCGGUGAAAUGCUUAGAUAUCACGAAGAACUCCGAUUGCGAAGGCAGCCUGCUAAGCUGCAACUGACAUUGAGGCUCGAAAGUGUGGGUAU
rnacentral:rRNA from 1 species